rnacentral:rRNA from 1 species
ACGCUAGCUACAGGCUUAGCACACGCAAGUCGAGGGGAAACGACAUCGAAAGCUUGCUUUUGAUGGGCGUCGACCGGCGCACGGGUGAGUAACGCGUAUCCAACCUGCCCAUCACUUGGGGAUAACCUUGCGAAAGUAAGACUAAUACCCAAUGAUAUCUCUAGAAGACAUCUGAAAGAGAUUAAAGAUUUAUCGGUGAUGGAUGGGGAUGCGUCUGAUUAGCUUGUUGGCGGGGUAACGGCUCACCAAGGCGACGAUCAGUAGGGGUUCUGAGAGGAAGGUCCCCCACAUUGGAACUGAGACACGGUCCAAACUCCUACGGGAGGCAGCAGUGAGGAAUAUUGGUCAAUGGACGAGAGUCUGAACCAGCCAAGUAGCGUGCAGGAUGACGGCCCUAUGGGUUGUAAACUGCUUUUAUAAGGGAAUAAAGUGAGUCUCGUGAGACUUUUUGCAUGUACCUUAUGAAUAAGGACCGGCUAAUUCCGUGCCAGCAGCCGCGGUAAUACGGAAGGUCCGGGCGUUAUCCGGAUUUAUUGGGUUUAAAGGGAGCGUAGGCCGGAGAUUAAGCGUGUUGUGAAAUGUAGACGCUCAACGUCUGCACUGCAGCGCGAACUGUUUUCCUUGAGUACGCACAAAGUGGGCGGAAUUCGUAGUGUAGCGGUGAAAUGCUUAGAUAUCACGAAGAACUCCGAUUGCGAAGGCAGCUCACUGGAGCGCAACUGACGCUGAAGCUCGAAAGUGCGGGUAUCGAACAGGAUUAGAUACCCUGGUAGUCCGCACGGUAAACGAUGGAUGCCCGCUGUUGGUCUGAAUAGGUCAGCGGCCAAGCGAAAGCAUUAAGCAUCCCACCUGGGGAGUACGCCGGCAACGGUGAAACUC